rnacentral:rRNA from 1 species
AUACGGAGGGUGCAAGCGUUAUUCGGAAUCACUGGGCGUAAAGGACGCGUAGGCGGGUUAUUAAGUCGGGUGUGAAAUCCAAUGGCUCAACCAUUGAACUGCAUUCGAAACUGAUAACCUAGAGUAUGGAAGGGGCAGGUGGAAUUAGUGGUGUAGGGGUAAAAUCCGUAGAUACCACUAGGAAUACCGAAAGCGAAGGCGACCUGCUGGGACAUUACUGACGCUGAGGCGUGAAAGCGUGGGGAGCAAACAGGAUUAGAAACCCCAGUAGUCC